rnacentral:rRNA from 1 species
AUGGUAGUGUUUGCGUGCGCUGCAACUUUUUCUACCCAAACGAAACAUCGAAACUCUUGCCUAGACGAUACAUCGAAACAAAAUCUUGCUGCAUGUCGUACAUGUCGCCAUUUUACUGCACUGGAGUGGCAUCAAGCCGGCCAGCCUACCUGUAGAUCACUGGGUGAACACCACAUUCGUGAUGUCGGGGAACUUCUCCUUGAUGGCUGCCUUCACUCCACUUCCGAUGGACUCUGGGCCGUCAUACUUAACCAGGCAGUCCUCGCCGUCAACGGCAAGAACCUUCACACUCCCGCCGUAGUUCGCGAUCGCCGGCCGCAGUAUGUCCAGGUGCCGGUUCACCGCCUGCAAGCAACAUCCAUCCCAAGAACGCUCUCCUCUACCUCAGGCGUUGUCUCCUCCGGCUGCUGGUCCCCGUCGAACACCUGGCGGAUGUCCUUGAUGGCGUCACCGAACUUCUCCUUGAGCACUCGCUCGAUGCCCAUGUUCAUCGUCGUCGUCGAGCUUGGACAACUGCUGCACGCCCCUGGAUUGUGGUGA